rnacentral:rRNA from 1 species
CCUACGGGAGGCAGCAGUGAGGAAUAUUGGUCAAUGGACGGAAGUCUGAACCAGCCAUGCCGCGUGCAGGCAGACGGCUCUAUGAGUUGUAAACUGCUUUUGUACAAGGGUAAACCUGAAUACGUGUAUUCCGCUUCAAGUACUUUACGAAUAAGGAUCGCCUAACUCCGUGCCAGCAGCCGCGUUAAUACGGAGGAUCCAAGCGUUAUCCGGAUUUAUUGGGUUUAAAGUGUGCGUAGGCGGAUUGAUAAGUUAGAGGUGAAAUGUCCGAGCUUAACUCGGGAACUGCCUCUAAUACUGUUGAGCUAGAGAGUAGAUGCGGUAGGCGGAAUGUAUGGUGUAGCGGUGAAAUGCUUAGAGAUCAUACAGAACACCGAUUGCGAAGGCAGCUUACCAAGCUAUAUCUGACGUUGAGGCACGAAAGCGUGGGGAGCAAACAGGAUUAGAUACCCUUGUAGUC